rnacentral:rRNA from 1 species
GUCUUUUAGAUUAUAAUUUAAAGUCUAACCUGCCCACUGAAAAUUUUGAAGGGCCGCGGUAUUUUGACUGUGCAAAGGUAGCAUAAUCAUUAGUCUUUUAAUUGAAGGCUUGUAUGAAUGGUUGGAUGAAACAUUAACUGUCUCAAGUUAAUAUUUAGAAUUUAAUUUUUAAGUUAAAAAGCUUAAAUUAAAUAAGAGGACGAGAAGACCCUAUAGAUCUUGAUAAUUAAUAAUUUAAUAAUAUUUUAGUUAAAUAUAAAUUUUUAUUUUAUAAAUUAUUGUAUUGGGGUGAUAAAUAAAUUUAGUAAACUUUAUAUAAUUAGAACAUUAAUUUAUGAAUAUUUGAUCCAUUAAUAAUGAUUAAAAGAUUAAGUUACCUUAGGGAUAACAGCGUAAUUUUUUUAGAGAGUUCUAAUCGAUAAAAGAGUUUGCGACCUCGAUGUUGAAUUAAAGAUUAAUUUAGGUGUAGAAGUUUAAAUUUUUGGUCUGUUCGACCAUUAAAUC